rnacentral:rRNA from 1 species
AGAGUUUGAUCCUGGCUCAGAGCGAACGCUGGCGGCAGGCUUAACACAUGCAAGUCGAGCGGACCUUUCGGGGUCAGCGGCGGACGGGUGAGUAACGCGUGUGGAACGUGCCUUCCGGUUCGGAAUAACCCUGGGAAACUAGGGCUAAUACCGGAUACGCCCUUAUGGGGAAAGGUUUACUGCCGGAAGAUCGGCCCGCGUCUGAUUAGCUAGUUGGUGGGGUAACGGCCUACCAAGGCGACGAUCAGUAGCUGGUCUGAGAGGAUGAUCAGCCACACUGGGACUGAGACACGGCCCAGACUCCUACGGGAGGCAGCAGUGGGGAAUAUUGGACAAUGGGCGCAAGCCUGAUCCAGCCAUGCCGCGUGAGUGAUGAAGGCCUUAGGGUUGUAAAGCUCUUUUAUCCGGGACGAUAAUGACGGUACCGGAGGAAUAAGCCCCGGCUAACUUCGU